rnacentral:lncRNA from 1 species
CCUGGGGGACAAGACCGAGACUUAGUCUCAAAAAAAAAAAAAAAAACAGAAAAGAAGAAAAUGAAAGUCUUACCAAUAAUAACUUCACAGGAUUUAUGUGCCUGAGAAACUUCAUAAGCACAACGCACUUCAGAGUAUGUGAUCCCUCCAAUUACAAAAACAAUCAGCUUUGACCCAUUUUUUCGGUCUUCUAAAUAAUUAGCUCUGGGUUUCUGGCGAGCACUAAAAAGUAAUUUAAAAAAAAAAAAGUAAACAUGUUAUAAACAUUUCCAAAGCCAUAAUGCUUGUAGACUUAAAAAGCCUAACUCAACCAAACUCAAACUUGCUACCAAUUACAUUGAUUUUUUUUUUUUUUUUUUUUUUUUGAGGUGGAGUCUCACUUUGUAGCCCAGGCUGGACUGCAGUGGAGCGAUCUUGGUUCACUGCAACCUCCGCCUCCUGGGUCACAGUUCAAGCAAUUCUCCUGUUUCAGCCUCCCGAGUAGCUAGGAUUACAGGCAUGUGCCACCAUGCCCAGCUAAUUUUUGUAUUUUUAGUAGAGACAGGGUUUCACCAUGUUGGCCACGCUGGUCUUGAACUCCUGACCUCACCAUUCUGGCCAACAUGGUGAAACCCCCUCUCUACUAAAAAUACAAAAAUUAGCUGGGCAUGGUGGCGCAUGCCUGUAUCCCAGCUACUCGGGAGGCUGAGGCAAGAGAAUUGCUGGAACCUGGGAGGCGAAGGUUGCAGUGAGCCAAGACUGUGCCACUGCACUCCAGCCUGGGUGAUAGAGUGACACUC